UCAGAGGUAGCUCAGUUGGUAGAGCAUAUUGUCGUUCAGGCCGAUAGGUCCCAGGUUCGAGUCCUGGCCUCUGAC